rnacentral:lncRNA from 1 species
CCAGGGUUAGAACUCGUAUACACCUGAUCGAUUCGGACUUAAAGCUUAUUAACCAAUUGAGCUAAAUCACUUAAACUGGUAUUGGAAAAUUAAAGUGAAACUCUGAUAUACCUACUUAAUCAAACACAACAAUGACUUAAUCAAACCAUAUUUGCAAAAAUCACUUAAUCAAAUAUCACUUAAUCAAACACAACAAUGACUUAAUCAAACAACUUUGACUUAAGAGUUUUUACUAAUAUCUCAAACCACAUUUGCAAAAAUCACUUAAUCAAACACAACAAUGACUUCAUAAUUUUCAAUGUAGAAAAAUCUAUAUUCCACAAAUCGAACAUGCAAUUAGACAAUAGAACAAAAAAUGAAAACAAACACUAUAUUCCACAAAUUGAACUUCAUGAUUUUCAACAGAACAAAAAUUGAAAAUGAA